AAGUCGUAACAAGGUUUCCGUAGGUGAACCUGCGGAAGGAUCAUUAACACGUGUCUCACGUUAUACUUUCAUACUCAUAAACAACCACCACGAACCAGUAGCUCCCUGUCAGCUAACCUCUUCGACUGUCGCCCACAUAUUAUGAUGGGUCUUACCCUUCACGGGGUAGGGCAUAUAUGGGGCACUGUAGCACUCCUUGAGAGCGCGGUCGAGUCACUUGUUGAUAGGCUUAUCUUAUAUAAUCCAACCCACAUAUGACCAACCAUCUUGGAUGUGGCGCGGGUUCCCAUACCUAUUUCACCCUCUUGAACUAAUUUGACUAAACUUCUCAGCAUCUAUACGUCGGGAGAAAUCUCGUUCGUGAUGCGACUAAGAUUUUAUCUUAACUAAGCACAACUCUUAGCAAUGGAUAUCUUGGUUCUC
rnacentral:misc_RNA from 1 species